UGGUAUUGAUUGGUGCUUGCAUCAUGAUUUACAUUUGAGUGAGUGGCGAACUGGUGAGUAACACGUGGGAAACCUGCCCAGAAGCGGGGGAUAACACCUGGAAACAGAUGCUAAUACCGCAUAACAACUUGGACCGCAUGGUCCGAGUUUGAAAGAUGGCUUCGGCUAUCACUUUUGGAUGGUCCCGCGGCGUAUUAGCUAGAUGGUGGGGUAACGGCUCACCAUGGCAAUGAUACGUACCCAACCUGAGAGGGUAAUCGGCCACAUUGGGACUGAAACACGGCCCAAACUCCUACGGGAGGCAGCAGUAGGGAAUCUUCCACAAUGGACAAAAGUCUGAUGGAGCAACCCCCCGUGAGUGAAAAAGGGUUUCGGCUCGUAAAACUCUGUUGUUAAAGAAAAACAUAUCUGAGAGUAACUGUUCAGGUAUUGACGGUAUUUAACCAGAAAGCCACGGCUAACUACGUGCC
rnacentral:rRNA from 2 species